rnacentral:rRNA from 1 species
GCCCGCUCAGAAACUUAAAGGAAUUGACGGGGCCCGCACAAGCGGAGGAGCAUGUGGUUUAAUUCGAUGAUACGCGAGGAACCUUACCUGGGCUCGAACGUAAGAUGACUGUAGGUGAAAGCUUACAUCUCUUCGGAGCAUUUUACGAGGUGCUGCAUGGUUGUCGUCAGCUCGUGCCGUGAGGUGUCGGGUUAAGUCCCAUAACGAGCGCAACCCCUACCUUUAGUUGCCAUCAGGUAAUGCUGGGGACUCUAAAGGAACUGCCUACGCAAGUAGUGAGGAAGGCGGGGAUGACGUCAAAUCAGCACGGCCCUUACGUCCAGGGCUACACACGUGCUACAAUGGCCGAUACAGAGGGCAGCUACCUGGUGACAGGAUGCAAAUCUCCAAAGUCGGUCUCAGUUCGGAUCGGAGUCUGCAACCCGACUGCGUGAAGUCGGAAUCGCUAGUAAUCGUGAAUCAGAAUGUCACGGUGAAUACGUUCCCGGGCCUU